rnacentral:rRNA from 1 species
CAUGGAGGGUGAGAAUCCCGUCCGGUUGAUCAUUUGCGUUUUACGAUACGCUUUCUAAGAGUCAAGUUGUUUGGGAUUGCAGCUUAAAAUGGGAGGUAAAUUUCUCCUAAGGCUAAAUAACGGCGAGAGACCGAUAGCGAACAAGUACCGUGAGGGAAAGAUGAAAAGAACUUUGAAAAGAGAGUUAAACAGUACGUGAAAUUGUUGAAAGGGAAACGAUUGAAGCCAGUCGUACCUUCGGGUAAUCAGCCUUUCGGGUGCGAUUCUGUGGAGUGUGAGGAGCUUAACACCUUCAUGCUUUGCAUAUUUGUGCUCUUGGGUGUACUUGCCCGUGUGGUUGGUUAACAUCAAUUUUGGUUAUCAUAAAAUGAUUGGAGGAAUGUAGCUUCGAUCUCGUAUUGAAGUGUUAUAGCCUUCGGUAGAUGUGAUGGUCGAGAUUGAGGAUUGCAACGGAUACCCUUCGGGGCUACCUGUCUGGUCUCUGAUCGUUGCUCUGGUGCCGAAAGCUUGCUUACGGUUAUCAAAGUCGAUGGUCAAUAGGUUAGAACGGGUUAAAUUCGUUAAGGAUGUUGACGUAAUG